rnacentral:rRNA from 1 species
UUGGGAGCUCUCCCAUAUGGUCGACCUGCAGGCGGCCGCGAAUUCACUAGUGAUUCUUAUUACCGCGGCUGCUGGCACGUAGUUAGCCGUGACUUAUUCAUCAGGUACCGUCAUUAUCUUCCCUGAUAAAAGAGGUUUACAACCCGAAGGCCUUCAUCCCUCACGCGGCGUUGCUGCGUCAGACUUUCGUCCAUUGCGCAAAAUUCCCCACUGCUGCCUCCCGUAGGAGUCUGGGCCGUGUCUCAGUCCCAGUGUGGCCGGUCACCCUCUCAGGCCGGCUACCCGUCAAAGCCUUGGUAGGCCAUUACCCCACCAACAAGCUGAUAGGCCGCGAGCACAUCCCCCACCGAAAAAAACUUCCCACCCCACACCAUGCGGUGCAAGGAGAAUACCCGGUAUUAGCCACCCUUUCAGGCAGUUAUCCCGAAGUGAAGGGCAGAUUACUCACGUGUUACUCACCCGUUCGCCGCUCGAGUACCCCCGAAGGAGCCUUUCCGCUCGACUUGCAUGUGUUAAGCACGCCGCCAGCGUUCGUCCUGAGCCAUGAUCAAACUCUAAUCGAAUUUCCGCGGCCGCCAUG